UGGAGCAGUCAGAACACACACGACAUUUAUCAAUUAAAUUUGUCAUCUUAUAUGGGUGCAAUUCAUGGCACCCCCAAACAAUUACAAUAGUAACAUCAGAGAUCACAGAUCACAAUAACAGAUAUAAUAAUAUGAAAUAUUGUGAGAUUACCGAAAUAUGACACAGAGACGUGAGAUGUAUCUUGUGAUUUUUCCAGAAGGUACAAGGUAUAAUCCAGAGCAAACAAAAGUCCUUUCAGCUAGUCAGGCAUUUGCUGCCCAACGUGGCCUUGCAGUAUUAAAACAUGUGCUAACACCACGAAUAAAGGCAACUCACGUUGCUUUUGAUUGCAUGAAGAAUUAUUUAGAUGCAAUUUAUGAUGUUACGGUGGUUUAUGAAGGGAAAGACGAUGGAGGGCAGCGAAGAGAGUCACCGACCAUGACGGAAUUUCUCUGCAAAGAAUGUCCAAAAAUUCAUAUUCACAUUGAUCGUAUCGACAAAAAAGAUGUCCCAGAAGAACAAGAACAUAUGAGAAGAUGGCUGCAUGAACGUUUCGAAAUCAAAGAUAAGAUGCUUAUAGAAUUUUAUGAGUC
rnacentral:misc_RNA from 1 species